GCGGUUUGUCCGAUUUUUGCUCGGGAAGAUUUUAGCCCAUUUCGACUUUUGAGCUAGAUUUCUCGAAAACCGUGAAUCCCACGAGAAAACCGAGGGUACCAGCACGCUCCACUCGUCGAGAGCUUCGCGGCGACAUAAAUUUCAAAUUUUUCCGACACCGUUUUUCGGUGGGUCCCACGGAACUUCGCAGUGUUUUUCCGAGCAUUUAAUGAGCUUAGAAAAUUCUGAAAAAUUUAUGUACUAACCCCCGUGUUAUGGGCUUCGUGUAGGUAUCCUCAAUUCGCGGAAAUUCGACAGUUGACCGGGUCUGUGAAAUUCCGGCCAGACAGACCCGUUACCGGAAAAGUCUCCGAAUUGGACUGAGGUUUUGGCUAGCCCCCCAUUGUCAGACGUCCCGAGCGCGUUCCCGAAGUCAGAAUCGGCAAAGGUGAGCCGGGACAGCCUUCUUCCUCCGCCCAGCCGCCACAGUGAUUGUCGUCAAGUCUGCCACAGGAGGAUAUUUUUUGAGGUUAACCUGCUUUCUCCCUCGCAGGUCGAUUACUAAUGUUUGUAUAAACUAGUUAAAUCUUAGAAUUUCCGCAUGUGUUAGAAAUGUUUAUUUGAUUUGGG